CCUACGGGUGACAGCAGUGAGGAAUAUUGGUCAAUGGACGAGAGUCUGAACCAGCCAAGUAGCGUGAAGGAUGACUGCCCUAUGGGUUGUAAACUUCUUUUAUAUGGGAAUAAAAUGUCCCACGUGUGGGAUUUUGUAUGUACCAUAUGAAUAAGGAUCGGCUAACUCCGUGCCAGCAGCCGCGGUAAUACGGAGGAUCCGAGCGUUAUCCGGAUUUAUUGGGUGUAAAGGGAGCGUAGGUGGAUUGUUAAGUCAGUUGUGAAAGUUUGCGGCUCAACCGUAAAAUUGCAGUUGAAACGGGCAGUCUUGAGUACAGUAGAGGUGGGCGGAAUUCGUGGUGUAGCGGUGAAAUGCUUAGAUAUCACGAAGAACUCCGAUUGCGAAGGCAGUUCACUGGACUGCAACUGACACUGAGGCUCGAAAGUGUGGGUAUCAAACAGGAUUAGAUACCCGAGUAGUC
rnacentral:rRNA from 1 species